GCCUUAUCAUAUUGAAAUGCAGAUUCCCAUAUGAUCACCAAAGUUAAGCAGUAUCAAGCCUGGUCACUACCUAGAUGGGUGACCACUUGGGAAUACCAUGUGCA